CCAGCAGCCGCGGUAAUUCCAGCUCCAAUAGCAUAUAUUAAAAUUGCUGCAGUUAAAAAGCUCGUAGUUGGACUUCUGUGGAAUUCUUGGACGGCAUUCUGUGUUUGUUCCAGGCUUUUCACAUCCUUCUGUUAACCUGUGCUUCCUUCACCGGAUAAACAGGGGCUCAGAUACUUUACCUUGAGAAAAUUAGAGUGUUUCAGGCAAGCUUUCGCUUGAAUUCAUUAGCAUGGAAUAUUUAAGGACUCCCGCAGUUCAGUGGUCUCGUGUGGAGUAAUGAUUAAUAGGGAUAGUUGGGGGCAUUGGUACUUAAUUGUCAGAGGUGAAAUUCUUUGAUUUGUUAAAGACUAACUAGUGCGAAAGCAUUUGC
rnacentral:rRNA from 1 species